GGAAUCAAGUCAACGUGGCCAGAGAGAAAGAGAGAGAGAAAGAAAGUGUUCGAUCUAGAGUUUGAUCGAUUCUGAAGACCGAGAAGGCCAGUUCCGUCCAAUCGUCGAUUCUUUACGAUUGUGACGCGGAAGCUCUGUCCAAUUCAAUCCGUCCAAGCCAGUCAUAUUCUCCUACAAUUAAGUGAGGUACUGUCCAAGAUUAGUUCAGUUCCAUGGGUUCAGAUCAGUCGAAGUUCUACUCGAUACUGCACCGGGAAGUCGAAG
rnacentral:lncRNA from 1 species